rnacentral:rRNA from 1 species
GACGAACGCUGGCGGCGUGCUUAACACAUGCAAGUCGAACGAAGAGCGAUGGAAGCUUGCUUCUAUCAAUCUUAGUGGCGAACGGGUGAGUAACGCGUAAUCAACCUGCCCUUCAGAGGGGGACAACAGUUGGAAACGACUGCUAAUGCCGCAUACGAUCUGACCUCGGCAUCGAGGAUAGAUGAAAGGUGGCCUCUAUUUAUAAGCUAUCACUGAAGGAGGGGAUUGCGUCUGAUUAGCUAGUUGGAGGGGUAACGGCCCACCAAGGCGAUGAUCAGUAGCCGGUCUGAGAGGAUGCACGGCCACAUUGGGACUGAGACACGGCCCAGACUCCUACGGGAGGCAGCAGUGGGGAAUCUUCCGCAAUGGACGAAAGUCUGACGGAGCAACGCCGCGUGAGUGAUGACGGCCUUCGGGUUGUAAAGCUCUGUUAAUCGGGACGAAAGGCCUUCUUGCGAAUAGUUAGAAGGAUUGACGGUACCGGAAUAGAAAGCCACGGCUAACUACGUG